UACGAAGGGGGCUAGCGUUGCUCGGAAUCACUGGGCGUAAAGGGUGCGUAGGCGGGUUUUUAAGUCAGAGGUGAAAUCCUGGAGCUCAACUCCAGAACUGCCUUUGAUACUGAGAAUCUUGAGUAUGGGAGAGGUGAGUGGAGCUGCGAGUGUAGAGGUGAAAUUCGUAGAUAUUCGCAAGAACACCAGUGGCGAAGGCGGCUCACUGGCCCAUAACUGACGCUGAGGCACGAAAGCGUGGGGAGCAAACAGG
rnacentral:rRNA from 1 species